rnacentral:tRNA from 1 species
UUUAAACCCUAAAUAUGAUUUUAACUUCUUAUAUUA